rnacentral:rRNA from 1 species
UACGUAGGGUGCGAGCGUUGUCCGGAAUUACUGGGCGUAAAGAGCUCGUAGGCGGCUUGUUGCGUCGGCUGUGAAAUCCCAUGGCUCAACUGUGGGCUUGCAGCCGAUACGGGCGGGCUAGAGUUCGGUAGGGGAGACUGGAAUUCCUGGUGUAGCGGUGAAAUGCGCAGAUAUCAGGAGGAACACCCGUGGCGAAAGCGGCGCGCUGGACCACUACUGACGCUGAGGAACGAAAGCUAGGGGAGCAAACAGG